rnacentral:ncRNA from 1 species
UCGUGGGUAGCGAACGGGAUUAAAUACCCUGGUAGUCCAUGCCGUAAACGAUGAGUGUUCGCCCUUGGUCUACGAAGAUCAGGGGCCCAACUAACGCAAGACC